AGAGUUUGAUCCUGGCUCAGAUUGAACGCUGGCGGCAUGCCUAACACAUGCAAGUCGCACGCGAAAGGGGGCAACCCCGAGUAGAGUGGCGGACGGGUGCGUAAUACGCAGGAAUCUACCCACGAGUGGGGGACAACCCGGGGAAACCCGGGCUAAUACCGCAUGAGACCUACGGGUGAAAGCGGGGGAUCGCAAGACCUCGCGCUGGUGGAUGAGCCUGCGUCCGAUUAGCUAGUUGGUAGGGUAAAAGCCUACCAAGGCAACGAUCGGUAGCUGGUCUGAGAGGACGACCAGCCACACUGGGACUGAGACACGGCCCAGACUCCUACGGGAGGCAGCAGUGGGGAAUAUUGGACAAUGGGGGCAACCCUGAUCCAGCAAUGCCGCGUGUGUGAAGAAGGCCUUCGGGUUGUAAAGCACUUUCGAUGGGGACAAACGUGUCGGGCUUAAUACGUCCGGCCUUGAUGGUACCUAGAGAAGAAGCACCGGCUAACUCUGUGCCAGCAGCCGCGGUAAUACAGAGGGUGCAAGCGUUAAUCGGAAUUACUGGGCGUAAAGCGUGCGUAGGUGGUUGGAUAAGUCAGGUGUGAAAUCCCCGAGCUUAACUUGGGAAUUGCGCUUGAUACUGUCCGGCUAGAGUGUGGUAGAGGGUAGUGGAAUUCCGCAUGUAGCGGUGAAAUGCGUAAAUAUGCGGAGGAACAUCAGUGGCGAAGGCGGCUACCUGGACCAACACUGACACUGAGGCACGAAAGCGUGGGUAGCAAACAGGAUUAGAUACCCUGGUAGUCG
rnacentral:rRNA from 1 species